rnacentral:rRNA from 1 species
GACGAACGCUGGCGGCGUGCUUAACACAUGCAAGUCGAACGGAAAGGCCCUGCUUUUGUGGGGUGCUCGAGUGGCGAACGGGUGAGUAACACGUGAGUAACCUGCCCUUGACUUUGGGAUAACUUCAGGAAACUGGGGCUAAUACCGGAUAGGAGCUCCUGCUGCAUGGUGGGGGUUGGAAAGUUUCGGCGGUUGGGGAUGGACUCGCGGCUUAUCAGCUUGUUGGUGGGGUAGUGGCUUACCAAGGGUUUGACGGGUAGCCGGCCUGGGAGGGUGACCGGCCACAUUGGGACUGAGAUACGGACCAGACUCCUACGGGAGGCAGCAGUGGGGAAUAUUGCACAAUGGGCGGAAGCCUGAUGCAGCAACGCCGCGUGCGGGAUGACGGCCUUCGGGUUGUAAACCGCUUUCGCCUGUGACGAAGCGUGAGUGACGGUAAUGGGUAAAGAAGCACCGGCUAACUACGUG